rnacentral:rRNA from 1 species
GACGAACGCUGGCGGCGUGCCUAAUACAUGCAAGUCGAACGCAGUGGGGACGGCUGAGUAACACGUGGUUAACCUCCCAUCAGAGGGGAUAAAACAUGGAAACAGGUGCUAAACCGAUACUGAUGGAUGGACCCGCGGUUGAUUAGCUAGUUGGUGAGGUAACGGCUCACCAAGGCCACGAUGCAUAGCUGACCUGAGAGGGCGACCGGCCACACUGGGACUGAGACACGGCCCAGACUCCUACGGGAGGCAGCAGUAGGGAAUCUUCGGCAAUGGGCGAAAGUCUGACCGAGCAACGCCGCGUGAGGGAAGAAGGUCUUCGGAUCGUAAAACUCUGUUGUUAGAGAAGCGGUAUCUAACCAGAAAGCCACGGCUAACUACGUGCCAGCAGCCGCGGUAAUUC